UACAGAGGUGGCAAGCGUUGUUCGGAAUUACUGGGCGUAAAGGGCGCGUAGGCGGCCCGCUAAGUCGAACGUGAAAUCCCUGGGCUCAACCCAGGAACUGCGUCCGAUACUGGUGGGCUCGAAUCCGGGAGAGGGAUGUGGAAUUCCAGGUGUAGCGGUGAAAUGCGCAGAUAUCAGGAGGAACACCAAUGGCGAAGGCAGCACUCUGGGACGUGACUGACGCUGAGACGCGAAAGCGUGGGGAGCAAACAGG
rnacentral:rRNA from 1 species